UCUCAGGCAGUUAACCUUUUCUCAAAAAAAACAAGAUGGUUUCUCAGUUACCUCUAUUGUUAAAUCAAUGUAUUUUUUUGCCGGUGGUAGAGAUGGGAUUUACGCUAGUAGUAUUGGCUCAUAUUUGGGACAAUUCCAUGCCGGAUGAAAAGAACAGUAUGUUAUGCCAGGAGUGGAGGUCUUGCUGUUCAACCAUUGCGUGCAUGUUUUCAGCUCUGCUGCAGGAAGCUUGGUUGCUUGCUGUACAGGAACAUGCAUAGUUUAGUAUUUCACCCCCAUCAUGAUGUAUGGAGGACAUGUCCAUCUGAUGCCAUAAAAGAAGUUGUUCAUUUGUAUAGAGGGUGUGGAGUAAUGGGAGUUGCCAGCCCCACCUGCACCUCCUAUUUCCAUGCCUUCAAUAAUUGAAGGCAUCGAUGCAUUUAUCAAAGAAGCCAUGGAAGGAUACCAAGCUGUAACAUGGAAAGCUUGCUUCUGUGCGCAUGUUUUGCUCCAUUUGCCAAGGUUCUCAUUUGAAACUGAAGGAACUAAGCAGGCAUUAGCAAUUGUUUUUUGCAAAGUUUCAUUUUCACGUUCUCUUGACAUUCGAAGCAAGCCAAUGGCUUUGAGAAAACCUUUUUUGCUGGUUAUUGCAUCUCGUUACAUAUGUUGCCCUGGUUAUAUAAAAAAGGCUUUGGAGAAGGAUGUGGAUGAAGGUCUCACUGUGUGGGUGUGUGGAGUCAAGAGUGGUGUAUAUUUUUGCUCAUUUGUUCCAGCCUCGUCAUUCAUCUGGCUCCAAGAUAAAGUUGGCUGCUGGACUCUAAAAGUUGCACGAGUGCCUGAAUUCUCAUUCUAGAGCAAUCUUUUCGGGAGAGGAGCAACUAUGUAGUGGAAGACCCUAAACAGCCUCACUAUUCUUCAAGCUACUAUCAAACCAUUCCAAGUCAGUUGUAUCACUUUUUCUGUUCUAUGAUGUGACUUAAUAUUUCUAAUGGGCAAUCUCAAUACUGAUUGUGACAUGCAUGAUGAGAGUGAUUUCAAGUUAAUUAAACCCUGGUAAUGCACAUUCCAUAAUAUUGUUUUAUAGCAUGUUAAUGAUAUUUCUAUCUCGAACUCUAAUUUACGUGGGGAACAAAAUGUCUUCUAAAUUAGGGAAUGGGAGGAGGGGGCUGUGGUCAAGAAUAAAGAGGAGGGUAGGUAGUGAUAGUGGAGUUGACUGCAUGGUUGCUUGAGAAAUUUCGAGCCUGGCCAUGGAGCGAGGUAUUGCUUGCUUGGAUCACCAUGAUUUGACAUUCAUUUGGUGAGGUCUAAAAUAGAUGGACGGACGGUUUGUGGGAAUAGAAAGAUGCUUUUUUCUUUUUGGUGGUGGAGAAGGAAGGGACAGUGACGCUGCAAGGGUAGCGAACCAAAAGACUAAGUUGUGGA